rnacentral:rRNA from 1 species
GAUGAACGCUGGCGGCGUGCCUAAUACAUGCAAGUCGAGCGAACGGACGAGAAGCUUGCUUCUCUGAUGUUAGCGGCGGACGGGUGAGUAACACGUGGAUAACCUACCUAUAAGACUGGGAUAACUUCGGGAAACCGGAGCUAAUACCGGAUAAUAUUUUGAACCGCAUGGUUCAAAAGUGAAAGACGGUCUUGCUGUCACUUAUAGAUGGAUCCGCGCUGCAUUGGCUAGUUGGUAAGGUAACGGCUUACCAAGGCAACGAUGCAUAGCCGACCUGAGAGGGUGAUCGGCCACACUGGAACUUAGACACGGUCCAGACUCCUACGGGAGGCAGCAGUAGGGAAUCUUCCGCAAUGGGCGAAAGCCUGACGGAGCAACGCCGCGUGAGUGAUGAAGGUCUUCGGAUCGUAAAACUCUGUUAUUAGGGAAGAACAUAUGUGUAAGUAACUGUGCACAUCUUGACGGUACCUAAUCAGAAAGCCACGGCUAACUACGUG